GGCCGCCUGGCGAAAUGGCAUCGCGUCUGACUACGAUCUGCGUGUUGUUUAUCAGGAGAUUGCAGGUUCGAGCCCUGCGGUGGUCA
rfam:Gloeophyllum trabeum ATCC 11539 unplaced genomic scaffold GLOTRscaffold_00002, whole genome shotgun sequence.